UCUGGCAAUUUUGUGCCGUCAUUUUGCAUACCCUUCACCAUGUGCUCCUUCCUUUUCAUCUCCGUGCUGCUGAGCUGCUUUUGGGCUGUCCAGAGCCAAGGGUCCCUGAUCCAGCCACCGUCAGAAGUUAAACGGCCUGGGGAGACCCUGAAGCUUUCCUGCAAAUACUCUGGCUCUGAUUUUACCAAGUACUGGAUGCAGUGGGUCCGGCAGCCCCACAGUCUGGGACUGAGCUGGAUUGGGGAGGCUAACAAAGACACCACAUCUACCAACGUUCGGCGGGCUUUUCAGGAGCGUGUUAAGAUCACCAGGGACAAUGCCAACAGCUUAAUUCACUUGGAAGUGAGGAAUCUGCAGCCUGAGGACAGUGCUGUGUAUUACUGUGCUGCCCACAGUGACUGGAGGCUUGGACAAAACCCUGAGACCUAA